UGCCAGCAGCCGCGGUAAUACGAAGGGGGCGAGCGUUAUCCGGAAUUAUUGGGCGUAAAGAGUCCGUAGACGGUAUUUGUUGUUGUUUGUUAAAGACUAGGUUUGUUACUUAUUAUAAUGCAUACAAUACACUCAUGCUAGAGUUUGAUUGGGGAUAACAGAAUUUUAUAAUUAGGGGUAAAAUCCUAAGAGUUAUGAAGGAAUGCCAGAGGCGAAGGCGGUUAUCUAGGUCAUUACUGACGUUCAGGGACGAAAGCGUAGGUAGCAAACAGGAUUAGAUA
rnacentral:rRNA from 1 species